CAUGGCUGAUCGGAGCAAAGCCCCAACCGCUCAAGAGUGGAAAUCAGGCAGACCAGACACGGGCAUGGUGCUCGUAAAAACGGUUCCUGUUCGACCUGGGAAUGCAGCUCCCGAAGGAGCAGAUGUUUCCCUAGAAAGGAGGUGAUCCAGCCGCACCUUCCGGUACGGCUA
rnacentral:misc_RNA from 1 species